UACAGAGGUGGCAAGCGUUGUUCGGAUUUACUGGGCGUAAAGGGUGCGUAGGUGGUCGCUCGUGUCGGGUGUGAAAUCCCACGGCUUAACCGUGGAAUGGCAUUCGAAACUGGGUGACUUGAGUGCAGGAGGGGAGAGCGGAAUUCUUGGUGUAGCGGUGAAAUGCGUUGAUAUCAAGAAGAACACCGGUGGCGAAGGCGGCUCUCUGGAAUGCUACUGACACUGAGGCACGAAAGCUGGGGGAGCAAACAGG
rnacentral:rRNA from 1 species